CAGUUCGGCUGUAGUUUGGUCUGGCUGUAUUCUACAGUGCAUGUGUCUCCAGUGUUUCUAUGGCGACUGGGGAGGCAGCGCUGUUGGAAUAACAACCAGAACCGCUGAACACCAACCGGC
rnacentral:precursor_RNA from 8 species